UUUUAAUUGAAGACUUGUAUGAAUGGUUGAACGAGAAAUUAACUGUCUCUUUAAAAAAUCUUGAAUUUUACUUUUAAGUGAAAAGGCUUAAAUAAUUUUAAGGGACGAUAAGACCCUAUAAAUCUUUAUAUUAUUUUUCUUUAACUUUCAAAUUAUAUUUUAAAAGAAAAAAAAGAAAAAAAUAUUAUAUUGGGGAGAUAAAAAUAUAAUUUUUUUUUAACUGUUUUAAAUAUAAAACAAUAAUUUUUGAUUUAUUAAAAAAUUGAUCCUUUUUUAAAGAUUUUAAGAUUAAGUUACUUUAGGGAUAACAGCGUAAUUUUUUUUGAGAGUUCUUAUCGAAA
rnacentral:rRNA from 1 species